UUUCCCUUCUUUUUAUUAUUCGAUUACAUACUACAGUUCUUCAAUUGUGAACUUACGGUUUAAACAAUGAGGGUUUUAAAAACAGUGGGUUUAAUUGAGAGUUUUUAAUUGUGAUUGUUGCCAAUCGCUAUCGCUAUUUUUACGGUUCGUCUUUAAUUUGUAUUUGAAUUCGUGGGUAUUCAUUAAAUUUUGUUGUAAAUUGUUCUUGGUAUCUAAUUCGAUGAAGAAAACUUAGGUUUUGGUGAAUUCGCAACAUUUUGGUUUGUAUUUAUUUGCUAAUUUGAUGAAAUUCUAUUGAAUUAGAGUAGUCCAUAGUGGCUAGGUAAUGUGGAUUUGUGAAGCAUAUCGAAUACCAACAACCCUUUUCUUGUGAGUAAGUUUUUCAGAGAGAGUUAGGUUUGUACAAGAAUUCAGAAAUCUGGUCAUUGUUCUUGUUCAUUGUUAGUUUGGGUUUGUAAACUUCCAUUGUUAGUUUGGGUUUGCAGACUCUGUCAUGAUGCAGAAUAGGGUUUCUGGUAGUGAUUUAGUUUGUUGUAUGAUGCGCGCAGAUGUUGCCCAAGUCUUUUGAUGAAUCAGUUUGGAUAAAAUUUCUUGUGACUGAGGGAUAUAUUGCUUGUAGUAUGAUUAAGUAGUCUCUCUGCUACUUAACCUCUCUCACUCCCUCUCUAAAACCAGACUUGAAACAUUAGAACGUGAUGAGCUGAGUAUUUUUUUGGAUUAAUCAAUUCAUGUUGGUGAAGCCAUUGAUCGGUGGCCUCCUAGAUUUUAUUAAAUCAGGUGCGGAAGCACAGGUUGACUAAACCUGGCUGUAGUCCCCCCUUUUUUCUUUCAAAACCUCACCAAGUUAGGGUUUUACCCUUAUACAAAACAUAAAAGUUCAGUUUAGUCCACCAGGAUGAUCGUUUUAGUUCACCAAACAUAAAAGUUUACCAGCAGUUUUGUCCACGAGAAGAACAGAGAAAAAAAAUAUGAAGAGUUAGCUACUUAGUUGAAUUCAAUGCGAUUAUUAUUCACAAAAUCAACUACAUAUGGAUUUUUCUUCUAUGCUCCGCAAUACAGAUAACUAAUUAGCUCUUACUCGUGAUAUUGAAUUAGGUUUUGCAGAAUGAUGUGAAUUGUUUUCUAUAGCUUUGGAACUUUUGAUUAUUCUUAGCUUUUAUUAUCAAUAAAUCUAGGGGGUUUGUUAAAAUUGCUGCUAAACACUUGAGAUUAUCACUGCGAAACAAUUUAAUUUUGAAUUCAGACUUGUGUGCAACGACAUAUGAUGCACGUUCCUCUUGUGGAUGAUGAAUUGCAUCACUGUGGUGCCAUGGAGAUCUAUCUACCAACCGCGGUUUCUCAUUUUACCAUCAUCGUUAGAUUUUAGGUUCGAGCAGAGAUGGUAUGGAUUCAGAUGACCCGAACGCGCCUUGCAAACUUGGUUCUCAUUUCAUCAUACUUGAAAAGAUCAAUGGUGAGGAGGAUAAGCUCUAUAAAGAAAUCAAGGUAGUCGUAUUCACCUUUUCUGCUCAAAACUCCCACUUGUAUAGUAUGCUUUUAUUAUUAUCAGUUUAUAUGUGAUGACUGACUACUACACCUGUGUCCCCUAGCUAUGUAAACUUGUCUAUCCUACAUUGUUGUUGAGCAAAUACAGUUGAAUCCUUUCUAGACUCACAAACUUCUUGAACUGAUCUCAUCUGAAACAAGGUUCACUAGGGUGUUGGCCGUUAUUCUGGGUGACUGUGUAAUCUAUAACAGAUCUGUUGAGAGUAGUAAGGAUACUUUAUGGUAGUUGAUGUCAUCAGCCAGAAGAUUGGUCUUUACUGCAUACUUCCUGAGAUUCGAGGAGAUACAGAACAAGGAACUGGUGAUUCCGUUAGGAGCAUGAAAUUUUGUUGCGCACGAACUAAAGUAAAGAACACUUCCUAAGAAACGGAAAGAUCGGGUUACGGAUGUAUGGUCAUGGAGUGGCAAUAGCAAUUCUGGCGUUCUACUUUACAUUCCUUCCUAUAUCAAUACCACCAUCCCUUGCUUUGGUUUCACAAUUGUUAAUUUUUUUGUUUAAGUUGUUGGCAGUUGUUCUUUUUGUUUUAGUUAUUGUUUGUCAAUUUUGUUUUGUUUGUUUAGUUAAAUUCUUUUGUCAGUGCUGACAGAUUUGCAACAUUCUAGUUAAAUUUCAGGAGUGUGACAAAUUCGGAUUCGUGUCUCAGAAACUGAUUAGUGACUCGAAAUCUUCCGAUUUUGUGGACUUACUUUUAUUUUCUCAA